AUGCUGCAGUACUUGCUUAUAGAUUGGAUUGUAGGUGACCAGUUUGAAAUUCAGCUAAACCAGCAGCUAUGGUCCCUCAUCCCCAACAACGAUGUGAGAAGGCUUGUUUCUCAUGUUAUCCGGACCUUGAAGACGGACUGCACUGAGACCCAUUUGCAACUGGCCUGUGCCAAGCUCAUCUCUAGGACAGGCCUCCUAAUGAAGCUUCUCAGUGAGCAGCAAGAAUUGAGAACUGUAUCAAUGACAGCAUGGAAGCCCAGAAUGAACAGAAAGAGCAGAAGUCGAAUGAGGAGU
rnacentral:lncRNA from 1 species